CCAUUUUUUCCCUUACGGUGCCUGACGUCGUAUUUUAACGGUUAGAUGCCGUCAGGGAAAGAUGG
rnacentral:pre_miRNA from 1 species